CAUUAAAGUGGCACGCGAGCUGGGUUCAGAACGUCGCGAGACAGUUCGGUCCCUAUCUGUAGUGGUCGUUAGAAAUUUGAGAGGACCUACCUCUAGUACGAGAGGACCGAGGUGGACUGACCUCUAGUGUACCUGUUGUGGUGCCAACUGCAUCGCAGGGUAGCUAUGUCGGGAAGAGAUAAGUGCUGAAAGCAUAUAAGUACGAAGCUCGCCUCAAGAUUAGAUUUCUUUUAAGGGUCGUUCGAGACUAGGACGUUGAUAGGUUGCAGGUGUAAAGGUGGUAACAUCAUAGCCGAGCAAUACUAAUUACCCGUAGACUUUUUUCG
rnacentral:rRNA from 1 species